AUUGAACGCUGGCGGCAGGCCUAACACAUGCAAGUCGAGCGGAUGAGAGGAGCUUGCUUCUCGAUUCAGCGGCGGACGGGUGAGUAAUGCCUAGGAAUCUGCCUGGUAGUGGGGGACAACGUUUCGAAAGGAACGCUAAUACCGCAUACGUCCUACGGGAGAAAGCAGGGGACCUUCGGGCCUUGCGCUAUCAGAUGAGCCUAGGUCGGAUUAGCUAGUUGGUGAGGUAAUGGCUCACCAAGGCGACGAUCCGUAACUGGUCUGAGAGGAUGAUCAGUCACACUGGAACGGAGACACGGUCCAGACGCCUACGGGAGGCAGCAGUGGGGAAUAUUGGACAAUGGGCGAAAGCCUGAUCCAGCCAUGCCGCGUGUGUGAAGAAGGUCUUCGGAUUGUAAAGCACUUUGAGUUGGGAGGAAGGGUUGUAGAUUAAUACUCUGCAAUUUUGACGUUACCGACAGAAUAAGCACCGGCUAACUCUGUGCCAGCAGCCGCCGUAACAC
rnacentral:rRNA from 1 species